UGCCUCGUAUGAUACCUUUGU
ensembl:piRNA 21ur-6652 ncRNA